UACGUAGGGUGCGAGCGUUAAUCGGAAUUACUGGGCGUAAAGAGUGCGUAGGCGGUUCGUUAUGUCUGCUGUGAAAGCCCCGGGCUUAACCCGGGAAUGGCAGUGGAAACUGGCGGGCUUGAGUGUGGCAGAGGGGGUGGAAUUCCGCGUGUAGCAGUGAAAUGCGUAGAUAUGCGGAGGAACACCGAUGGCGAAGGCAAUCCCCUGGGCCUGCACUGACGCUCAUGCACGAAAGCGUGGGGAGCAAACAGG
rnacentral:rRNA from 1 species